CCUACGGGUGGCAGCAGUGGGGAAUAUUGGGCAAUGGGCGCAAGCCUGACCCAGCAACGCCGCGUGAAGGAAGAAGGCUUUCGGGUUGUAAACCUCUUUUGUCGGGGAGCAAAGCGAGUCACGUGUGACUCAUUGAGAGUACCCGAAGAAAAAGCAUCGGCUAACUCCGUGCCAGCAGCCGCGGUAAUACGGAGGAUGCGAGCGUUAUCCGGAUUUAUUGGGUUUAAAGGGUGCGCAGGCGGAGGUGCAAGUCAGCGGUCAAAUUGCGGGGCUCAACCCCGUACUGCCGUUGAAACUGCAUCCCUUGAGUGCGCGAGAAGUAUGCGGAAUGCGUGGUGUAGCGGUGAAAUGCAUAGAUAUCACGCAGAACUCCGAUUGCGAAGGCAGCAUACCGGCGCGCAACUGACGCUCAUGCACGAAAGCGUGGGUAUCGAACAGGAUUAGAUACCCGGGUAGUC
rnacentral:rRNA from 1 species